rnacentral:rRNA from 1 species
AGAGUUUGAUCCUGGCUCAGGAUGAACGCUGGCGGCGUGCCUAAUACAUGCAAGUCGAGCGAACAGACAAGGAGCUUGCUCCUUUGACGUUAGCGGCGGACGGGUGAGUAACACGUGGGUAACCUACCUAUAAGACUGGGAUAACUUCGGGAAACCGGAGCUAAUACCGGAUAAUAUUUCGAACCGCAUGAUUCGAUAGUGAAAGAUGGUUUUGCUAUCACUUAUAGAUGGACCCGCGCCGUAUUAGCUAGUUGGUAAGGUAACGGCUUACCAAGGCGACGAUACGUAGCCGACCUGAGAGGGUGAUCGGCCACACUGGAACUGAGACACGGUCCAGACUCCUACGGGAGGCAGCAGUAGGGAAUCUUCCGCAAUGGGCGAAAGCCUGACGGAGCAACGCCGCGUGAGUGAUGAAGGCCUUCGGAUCGUAAAACUCUGUUAUUAGGGAAGAACAUACGUGUAAGUAACUAUGCACGUCUUGACGGUACCUAAUCAGAAAGCCACGGCUAACUACGUGCCAGCAGCCGCGGUAAUACGUAGGUGGCAAGCGUUAUCCGGAAUUAUUGGGCGUAAAGCGCGCGUAGGCGGUUUUUUAAGUCUGAUGUGAAAGCCCACGGCUCAACCGUGGAGGGUCAUUGGAAACUGUAAAACUUGAGUGCAGAAGAGGAAAGUGGAAUUCCAUGUGUAGCGGUGAAAUGCGCAGAGAUAUGGAGGAACACCAGUGGCGAAGGCGACUUUCUGGUCUGUAACUGACGCUGAUGUGCGAAAGCGUGGGGAUCAAACAGGAUUAGAUACCCUGGUAGUCCACGCCGUAAACGAUGAGUGCUAAGUGUUAGGGGGUUUCCGCCCCUUAGUGCUGCAGCUAACGCAUUAAGCACUCCGCCUGGGGAGUACGACCGCAAGGUUGAAACUCAAAGGAAUUGACGGGGACCCGCACAAGCGGUGGAGCAUGUGGUUUAAUUCGAAGCAACGCGAAGAACCUUACCAAAUCUUGACAUCCUUUGACAACUCUAGAGAUAGAGCCUUCCCCUUCGGGGGACAAAGUGACAGGUGGUGCAUGGUUGUCGUCAGCUCGUGUCGUGAGAUGUUGGGUUAAGUCCCGCAACGAGCGCAACCCUUAAGCUUAGUUGCCAUCAUUAAGUUGGGCACUCUAAGUUGACUGCCGGUGACAAACCGGAGGAAGGUGGGGAUGACGUCAAAUCAUCAUGCCCCUUAUGAUUUGGGCUACACACGUGCUACAAUGGACAAUACAAAGGGCAGCGAAACCGCGAGGUCAAGCAAAUCCCAUAAAGUUGUUCUCAGUUCGGAUUGUAGUCUGCAACUCGACUACAUGAAGCUGGAAUCGCUAGUAAUCGUAGAUCAGCAUGCUACGGUGAAUACGUUCCCGGGUCUUGUACACACCGCCCGUCACACCACGAGAGUUUGUAACACCCGAAGCCGGUGGAGUAACCAUUUGGAGCUAGCCGUCGAAGGUGGGACAAAUGAUUGGGGUGAAGUCGUAACAAGGUA